rnacentral:rRNA from 1 species
GGGGAAUAUUGGACAAUGGGCGAAAGCCUGAUCCAGCCAUGCCGCGUGUGUGAAGAAGGUCUUCGGAUUGUAAAGCACUUUAAGUUGGGAGGAAGGGCAGUAAAUUAAUACUUUGCUGUUUUGACGUUACCGACAGAAUAAGCACCGGCUAACUCUGUGCCAGCAGCCGCGGUAAUACAGAGGGUGCAAGCGUUAAUCGGAAUUACUGGGCGUAAAGCGCGCGUAGGUGGUUCGUUAAGUUGGAUGUGAAAUCCCCGGGCUCAACCUGGGAACUGCAUUCAAAACUGACGAGCUAGAGUAUGGUAGAGGGUGGUGGAAUUUCCUGUGUAGCGGUGAAAUGCGUAGAUAUAGGAAGGAACACCAGUGGCGAAGGCGACCACCUGGACUGAUACUGACACUGAGGUGCGAAAGCGUGGGGAGCAAAACAGGAUUAGAUACCCUGGUAGUCCACGCCGUAAACGAUGUCAACUAGCCGUUGGGAGCCUUGAGCUCUUAGUGGCGCAGCUAACGCAUUAAGUUGACCGCCUGGGGAGUACGGCCGCAAGGUUAAAAC